AUACGUAGGUGGCGAGCGUUAUCCGGAUUUACUGGGUGUAAAGGGAGCGCUAGGCGGGACUGUAAGUUGGAUGUGAAAUACUGGGGCUUAACCCCGGGGCUGCAUCCAAAACUGUAGUUCUUGAGUGAAGUAGAGGCAAGCGGAAUUCCGAGUGUAGCGGUGAAAUGCGUAGAUAUUCGGAGGAACACCAGUGGCGAAGGCGGCUUGCUGGGCUUUAACUGACGCUGAGGCUCGAAAGUGUGGGGAGC
rnacentral:rRNA from 1 species